rnacentral:misc_RNA from 1 species
UUCCUCUCCGUUCGGACAUUUUCAGUCGCCGGCGACGGCUCAGCGAUUUCACUGGCCAAUAAGAUUCGCGCGGGAAGCACACGUGACAUAGUUUAACCAAUUGGGAUGUGUGGAUUUGAAUUCCCUCUUCGUUUUUCGUCUAUUCUAGGACUUUUGUAUACAUUCGUCGGGUGUAUAGUGCUGUCAAUGUUAAAAUGUGUUUAUGUUCAAUUUUGUGGGAAUAAUAGAUAGACAUAAGUAAUUAUCUAUACUGACAUAUUUUUUCAUUCAUAUUGAUCUUGAAUACAAAAUGUCGGCAGCCAUGGACAUGUUUCUAAGCGCGUCGGAUUCUCUACCGUUUCCGGACGUGUUGGACAUCGAUAUCAAAUCAGAAAUAGACACUCUAGUUGGUCACAACGAUUUCUCCGGAUACAGUUUCAACAACAUUGAACCUCUAGAAUUCGAAAACGAAAUCAAAUGGUUCAACUCGAAUUCGAAUCACUCGAUCCUGGAUUUCAGCGGUGACGAUGGCCCCACGAUGGUCAAUCCCAAUGCCGUUAUGCCUGUGAUGACGAUCGCUUCGUCGAACGUGGGAAGAAGUCCGUCGCCUUCCGUCAACCAAAGCCACCUUACGUUUUCACCGUCGUUAAUAAAAAUCUCCUCUCUCAAAACUGACACCUCUUCAGUAAAGAAAGAUCUCCUGAACAGACUAGAAGGCUUCGACACUACACAAAAGAAACAUACCCCCUCUCCUGUGAUGCCCAUAACUAAAGUGGCACCGAUCUUAGCCAAACCAGCUUUGGCCAAGCCCAUCACCCUAAAAACCACCAACUCGAACCCGACAAUUUUGAUAAGAAAUCCAGUGAAACACAUAACCACACCAAUCAUCACUCAGCUGGGCAGUAUAACGACCAUAAGAGCCCUACCAGCAAACGCCCUAUCUCAUGCGAUUCAUCGAAAAUCCGUCAACGUGACGAAACCCGUCGAUCGUACCACAGAGGAUCACCGAGCUUAUCCCAAGCCGGCCUACAGCUACUCGUGUCUCAUAGCGAUGGCUUUGAAGAAUAGCAGAUCGGGCAGCUUACCCGUUUCCGAGAUCUACAAUUUUAUGUGCAAGCAUUUCCCGUAUUUUAAGACGGCGCCGAACGGAUGGAAGAAUUCCGUAAGGCACAACUUGUCGCUGAGCAAAUGCUUCGAGAAGAUCGAGAAACCGGCGCUGAACGGUACGCACCGGAAAGGAUGUUUGUGGGCUAUGAAUCCAGCUAAGAUCAGUAAAAUGGACGAGGAGGUGCAGAAAUGGUCACGGAAGGAUCCUAGUGCUAUUAGGAAGGCUAUGGUUAAUCCAGAACAUUUGGAACUCCUGGAACGUGGCGAGUUGAAGUUUUCGUGCUCGUAUGACGAUGAAAACGACAAUUUCGGCGAUUCUUGCGGAUCUGCGGAAAGUGGCGAGGGUUCGGAUUCCGAAGAAGAAGUAGUUCACGAGGAAAUUGAAGAAGCUGAUAUCGAUAUAGAGGGAGGACAAUUUCAUUAUAUUCAAGUUGGAGAGGACGAGAUUGAAGAAUAUGAGGAAGUGACGGAAUAUUCCCAAUACGAGGACGAUAUGGAAGGAGACAAACAAUUAUUACGAGUAGAAAUGGCGCUCGCCCAAAAAGAACUUGACCUGGAAUACGAAAAAACCAUAAACAAUAAACGAAGACGAACUUAUAUAGUGCAACAACAUUAACUGGUAUGUAGUUGGCAAUUCGUAUUGUAAUUAAAUAUUACGUGUAUUAUAAAAUGUAGUAUGUUUUUUAUUGUAAAAAAGAUUGAUUUUGUUAAAAACAAUUUGGAAUUGUUUUAAAGGGGGUUAGCGGAUAUAAUAAAAUUUGAUGUUAAAUAGAUGUUUUGAAAAGCUUACAAGUCAAGUUCUUUGAAUUUUUACCUAUUAAAUUAUUAUUGAUAUUUGUACAACAUAAAUAUAAUGUAAAAUUUCAAACUACAAUACAUAUUGAAUGUCCAUACUUUAUUUACUUAUGUACCAUUUAAACAGUUUAAAAUGACCUACAACAGCUUACUUCGGAAUCGGUAAUAACAAGAACCCGAACAAAGCUAAUAAUUUUAAUAUAAAUUUAGGGUAUUCUUGCUAUUGAAGCACCUGCGUUUUCAGCUGUAAUAACAUUAUUUUAAUGCAGUUUGAAUAUUUAUUUAAGGAAUUACUAAAAUACAUUAUUUCGCAUUUUUUGCAAUACAUACCUUCUUUAUUUUACAGUUACAUUUCAAAUUUCCUGUGAGUGGAAAACUAUAGUUAAGAAACGAAGAACUACUACGCUCCAUUUGUGGUGACGUCGUGUUGCGGAAGGUCAGUGUCGCAAAAUCUAAACAAAGCCUUUGACAAAGCAUGAAUUAACCCACUAUUAAUCCGUUUUUUUCUCGUUUAUUAUUAUAUUACUGUUUUCUUAAGGAUAAUUGUAUUUUUCCAAGUAAGUACAUUUAAUUUUUAACCGUACCAGUGCACUUUAUAGUUAAUAAAUUCUAUAAUACUAUGGAAAUUCGUGUUCUUUAUUGUUUUAACAUAACCUCAUAUUACAUAUCCCUAUAUGUAUCCUUUUGUGUAAUUAUACGUAUAGUAAACGCUUAUAUACUUACUCAGAAAGAAAGAAAAAUAAGAAAAAUUAGAUUAUCCCAUUAUAUUCUUGCAAGAUUCUUGCUUUGUUUGGAUUUUGCGGCACUGACCUUCCGCUACAUGACGUCACACUAAUGGAGCGUCUUAAGAAAUGAAACAUUAUAUCGAAACAUUUUCAUUUACUUAAUAUUCUUAAAUCUUUCAUCUAGUGCUAUAGUUUCGUAGCCAUUUUAUGUGACAACUGGGUUACUCUAAAUUGGUGGUCCGUUUUUUAAUGAGUAAGAUAAAGAUGAUAAUACCUAAUUUACAUUAUAUCCAGUUGAGACAGAGACAGACAGAUAUGUGCUGUAAGGCGUAAUUAAACAGUACACUUGAGGUGGAACUAUAUUUUAUUAUAAUUUCUAAAAUAAAGCAAAAUAAUAGUAUAUUGUUUUAUUAGGAGCAAAAAUGACACUUUUUGUGGCCAGGCUGUACGUUUGACAUUACAGGCGAGACACAAAAAGUCAUUUUUACUCUGAUUAGAACAAGCUAUUUUUUUCAGAUAAAAACUAAUACUUUAUUAUAAGUAUUUUUUUUGCUUUUCAUUUUGUUAGAAAAUACCUUAAUGUUUUUAGUGACACACUUGUAUCUCAAUUGUAGUUAAGACGUUUUUCCUUAACACGGCAGUAUAAUAAAAGUUUCUUAGUAGAUUUUAUUGUUUUUAUGGAAAAUCCGACAACAGCGCAUAGAAAAAUCUCUUGAGUAUCUUCAUCAUUUUCUAACACGUUGAAAUCCAGACUACCGAUUUCGGAUGACCAGAGCUGUAUAAAGUUUUAAAAUAUUUUCACUGAGUUACAAAGCUUUUCAAAACAUGGUCCUUAUAUAUUUAAACUAACUUUAGCUAAUAAGUUAGUUUAGUCGACGUUGUAUACGUUGUUGCGUGCUUUCGAAUCUACUUUAUAAUAAUUAUCUAAUGUCGACUACUUCUUUUACUUGGUGCAAAUUCAACAACAGCACGAACUGUUUGGGGACUAAUUCUCGAAUGUCGAUUUUCAAUAACAAAUAUACUGUUCAGAAAGUGUAUUUAGCACGAUUUCACGUUAAAUAUACACUAUCAUAAUAUUUUCAAUGAGUACGUUUUGGCAGCAUCGCAAAUCUCGUAAUUAUGACAGUUGUUUUAUGGAUAGGAAGUCUGGGAAACUAAAAAAUAACCCAAGUAGCAUUUUUGGACACAUUUUAGGUAAUGUUUCUAAUAAUAACUAAACUUUAUAACUAAAACUUUUCAGUUGUAAUCAUCUGCUGAUGAUGUUAACAUGGUUAGCGAAACGCGCGUCCAGUGUAAAACUAAAAGUAUUUUGGUGUAUUGUAGUGAUUUAGUAUUUUAUCUUGCUGUUGUAACACCAAAGGUUACAACCCCCAACGGUAACAAUCAUUCAUUGUUAAGUCGAUGCUAGCCAAUGUGUCAAAAAUAAGCGUCAGAUAAUAUCAAUAUGAAACUACUCAAGAGUUGCCAUUUUUAGUUGCUAGUUUAGCUCCUAAUUAGGCACCAACAAUUUUUAUGAAUCUUAUAAAUCAUUCCUUUUUCGUUCAAAUGAUAUUCAAGAAUAUCCUUGAGGUUGGAACCGUUGGUGUUGACAGAAAAAUAAACCACUAGUUUACCACAAUACACCAUAAUACUUUUAACAUUAGACGCGCGUUUCGUCAUCCGUGUUAAUGCAUGUCAUCAGCAGAUGAUUAAAACUAUCAGUUUCUAUCAUCCGCUGAUGAUGCUAACCUGGUUAUCAAGACUCGCGUAUUCAUAAUGGUCUCCAUCUAGUAAUGUUCCUUUGUUAAUUUUUAGACUCUAUAAUAUACAGGGUUGUGCACCGGCGUUAGAAACAUAGGAAAUUCCAUGCAAAUUUUGAACAGUUCCGAUAUUUUCUCCCGUUUAUUUUCCAGUGAAGUCGAUUAUAGUUUUAAAAAAAAUUGCAAUUAAAAACAAUUACAGUAUGUGUUAAUACAAAACAAGCAAGGUUUUAUUUAAAAAAAACACCACAUACCAAAAAAGAUAUAAAAAACAUUUCCGAUUAUUAUUUACCUAUCGUGUGCUGCUAUUUUACAGACACUCCAGUUUUUGGUAUCAUAUACAAGAUAGAAUAUAAACUUUAUUUGUAGCUAAUACAUCUCUCUGGACAUUAUCUCUGGCAAACUGUCUCUGGCGGUCUCUGGGCACCGAAUAUUAACUGUAAACUAUGGUCUGGGUCAACACUUCAAUCUUCCCGCGAGUUUUCCUCCACUUAAUUUUAAAAAACAAAAUAUUUAUCGUUUCUAUUUGACAUAAUUUGACACAAAAUUAUAACCUAUAAAUUAGCAAGAGUUUGACAACUCUGAAAAAUCUUAAGACGAGUUCACACGCAUCAGCGUUCGUUUGUCGUUCAUCUUUCCGUCAAACCAAUAAUAUUGAAAUAUGGUCUGUCAUUUUUGAAAUAAACCAAUAAAACUGGUUAAAAACAAUAAGAGAUGACGCAUGACGGAUUUAUAUAUAAACCCAUCCAUAGUUAACUUAAAAAAUAUUAGCAUUUUUUUUAGUUAAAUAAAUGGAGUGGUAUGGACGUCAUCUACUUUUUUUCUGUCAUCGUCUGUCAAAAUCAUAUGUCUAAUAGGUAUUAUUAUGGUUUUGUAUAAAAGAAGUUUAUUCUCAAGCGAUAGUUUAGAUCUUCCUAUCAACCAAUAUAUGUCGUCUUUUAUUUUAAAAUCUAUUUGCUUACGUUUCUUUACUAUGUGUUCUCUCCAGGUAAGCUUAGUAUCCAAGUGCAUGCUUAAGUACUUGGUAGAGGAAGACUGCGGAAUUAGUGUGUUGUUUAAAUAUACUGGAGGGCACUGGUCUCUAUUUAAAGUAAAAGUUACUUGGGCCGAUUUUGAUGCAUUAAUUUUUAUUUUCCAGUCACGUAACCAUGCCUCUAUUACAUUUAGAUGUCUUGUAAUAUCAAGGAAGCUGUUUCCGGCUUUUUAUUGACAGCCAUAAUUACUGUGUCAUCUGCAAAAGUAGCCGUUGUUGUUUCAUUGUUUGUGGGAAAGUCUGCUGUAAAAAAGUAUUCUGUACUCGACAUUCGAGAAUUGACACCCUGUAUAAAUUCAAACAUACGUUUCGA